rnacentral:rRNA from 1 species
GACGAACGCUGGCGGCGUGCUUAACACAUGCAAGUCGAGCGGUAAGGCCUCUUCGGGGGUACACGAGCGGCGAACGGGUGAGUAACACGUGAGUAAUCUGCCCUUCACUUCGGGAUAAGCUUCGGAAACGGGGUCUAAUACCGGAUACGACACUUUCAGGCAUCUGAUGAGUGUGGAAAGUUUUUUCGGUGGGGGAUGUGCUCGCGGCCUAUCAGCUUGUUGGUGGGGUAAUGGCCUACCAAGGCUUCGACGGGUAGCCGGCCUGAGAGGGUGACCGGCCACACUGGGACUGAGACACGGCCCAGACUCCUACGGGAGGCAGCAGUGGGGAAUAUUGGACAAUGGGCGGAAGCCUGAUCCAGCAACGCCGCGUGAGGGAUGACGGCCUUCGGGUUGUAAACCUCUUUCAGUACCGACGAAGCGAGAGUGACGGUAGGUACAGAAGAAGCACCGGCCAACUACGUGCCAGCCGCCGCCGUAA